rnacentral:rRNA from 1 species
GUGGGGCAGCAGGUCCGUAGCAAUACGGAUGCUGGCGACCGGCAAACGGGUGCGGAACACGUACACAACCUUCCUUCGAGUGGGGAAUAGCCCGGGGAAACCCGGAUUAAUACCCCGUAACAUAAUGAGGUGGCAUCGCCUUAUUAUUAUAGCAGCAAUGCGCUUGAAGAUGGGUGUGCGACUGAUUAGGCAGUUGGCGGGGUAACGGCCCACCAAACCUACGAUCAGUAACUGGUGUGAGAGCACGACCAGUCACACGGGCACUGAGACACGGGCCCGACUCCUACGGGAGGCAGCAGUAAGGAAUAUUGGUCAAUGGACGCAAGUCUGAACCAGCCAUGCCGCGUGGAGGAUGAAGGUCCUCUGGAUUGUAAACUUCUUUUAUCUGGGAAGAAAUCCACGAAUUCUUUUGUGGUUGACGGUACCAGAUGAAUAAGCACCGGCUAACUCCGUGCCAGCAGCCGCGGUAAUACGGAGGGUGCAAGCGUUAUCCGGAUUCACUGGGUUUAAAGGGUGCGUAGGUGGAUUGGUAAGUCAGUGGUGAAAUCUCCAGGCUUAACUUGGAAACUGCCAUUGAUACUAUCAAUCUUGAAUACCGUGGAGGUCAGCGGAAUAUGUCAUGUAGCGGUGAAAUGCUUAGAUAUGACAUAGAACACCAAUUGCGAAGGCAGCUGGCUACACGAAUAUUGACACUGAUGCACGAAAGCGUGGGGAUCAAACAGGAUUAGAUACCCUGGUAGUCCACGCCCUAAACUAUGGAUACUCGACAUACGCGAUAUACUGUGUGUGUCUGAGCGAAAGC